CCUACGGGCGGUAGCAGUCGAGAAUCAUUCACAAUGGGGGAAACCCUGAUGGUGCGACGCCGCGUGGGGGAAUGAAGGUCUUCGGAUUGUAAACCCCUGUCAUGUGGGAGCAAAUUAAAAAGAUCGUACCACACGAGGAAGAGACUUCUAACUCUGUGCCAGCAGCCGCGGUAAUACAGAGGUCUCAAGCGUUGUUCGGAAUCACUGGGCGUAAAGCGUGCGUAGGCUGUUUCGUAAGUCGUGUGUGAAAGGCGCGGGCUCAACCCGCGGACGGCACAUGAUACUGCGAGACUAGAGUAAUGUAGGGGGAACCGGAAUUCUCGGUGUAGCAGUGAAAUGCGUAGAUAUCGAGAGGAACACUCGUGGCGAAGGCGGGUUCCUGGACAUUAACUGACGCUGAGGCACGAAGGCCAGGGGAGCGAAAGGGAUUAGAUACCCCAGUAGUC
rnacentral:rRNA from 1 species